rnacentral:rRNA from 1 species
UACGGGGGGUGCAAGCGUUAUUCGGAAUUACUGGGCGUAAAGAGCGCGUAGGCGGCCCUGUAAGUCGAAUGUGAAAGCCCGGGGCUCAACCCCGGAAGUGCAUUUGAAACUACAGGACUUGAGUAUGGGAGAGGGAAGUGGAAUUCCUGGUGUAGAGGUGAAAUUCGUAGAUAUCAGGAGGAACACCGGUGGCGAAGGCGACUUCCUGGACCAAUACUGACGCUGAGGCGCGAAGGCGUGGGGAGCAAACAGG